rnacentral:pre_miRNA from 10 species
UGGCCAGCCCCAUCUGGAAGACUUGUGAUUUUGUUGUUGUUUCUCUGAAUCAACAGCAAAUCCUGGUCUGCCUCAUGGUGCAGGUCC